UACGUAGGUGGCAAGCGUUGUCCGGAAUUAUUGGGCGUAAAGCGCGCGCAGGCGGUCCUUUAAGUCUGAUGUGAAAGCCCACGGCUCAACCGUGGAGGGUCAUUGGAAACUGGGGACUUGAGUGCAGGAGAGAAGAGUGGAAUUCCACGUGUAGCGGUGAAAUGCGUAGAGAUGUGGAGGAACACCAGUGGCGAAGGCGACUCUUGGCCUGUAACUGACGCUGAGGCGCGAAAGCGUGGGAGCAAACAGG
rnacentral:rRNA from 1 species